AUACGUAGGUGGCAAGCGUUGUCCGGAUUUAUUGGGCGUAAAGCGCGCGCAGGUGGUCCUUUAAGUCUGAUGUGAAAGCCCACGGCUCAACCGUGGAGGGUCAUUGGAAACUGGGGGACUUGAGUGCAGAAGAGGAUAGUGGAAUUCCAAGUGUAGCGGUGAAAUGCGUAGAGAUUUGGAGGAACACCAGUGGCGAAGGCGACUAUCUGGUCUGUAACUGACACUGAGGCGCGAAAGCGUGGGGAGCAAACAGGAUUAGAUACCCUGGUAGUCCACGCCGUAAACGAUGAGUGCUAAGUGUUGGGGGGUUUCCGCCCCUCAGUGCUGCAGCUAACGCAUUAAGCACUCCGCCUGGGGAGUACGGUCGCAAGACUGAA
rnacentral:rRNA from 1 species